rfam:Draconibacterium orientale strain FH5T, complete genome.
UAACCGGCUUUUUUUAAAGCCAAUUCAAAUUGAUUGUCGGUAAACU